ensembl:lncRNA
UUGGCCUCUAAUUCAGAGUAAACAUCAAUUUGGGAGGGAGAACAAAGAGGAUGAAGAGAUCAGAGAUGGGGAGAAGGAAGCUGGCCUUCUGUAUUGGUAUAAAAAAAGGAAGAAAUACAUUGUCCUUGGUACAGGGCUCUGAUAUAGAUCUAGGCAGGCGUACUGGUGGAUUAGAAGUUGAAGACUGGGUCUGAGGGGUCUAGGAAGAAUCGAGAGGACUGCACGUGUUCUGAAGCGGAGGGAGAAAAAGGUACAAACGGCUUCGGAUCAGAUACUACUUUGAUGACAAGCGAUUGUGGAGAGAUCUAAUCGAAGUCUAAAGGAGAUGCUUAACAGGCAAAAGGGGCAACAAAAACUUCCCGAGGAGAAGAAAAGCUGUGGGUUCCUUCCAAGCUGAUAAAGAUCAGACAUGACAAGGGAAGACCUCCUGAAGUCCUCGGCAACACAGAAGAAAAGGGAGACUAAGACAAUCAACAAAUAGUUUUGUGUGCUGCAGGAGGAAAGAAGAGAAAGACAGCCCUGAAAUGAUCCACACUCUGGGAUGCUGAGAUUCCGGGACCUUCCAGUCCAAAUUCGUGUUUGAUUCUCCCUCAAUUAUACUGAAGCUGCUUCAUUUAAAGGCCUGCUUUCAGAACUUUCCCAGAAUGGCCAGCUUACUUAUCCAGCCCUUCAGACUGUCAUAGUCAAGAGGUCAGCUAAGAGAUGAACUUUUCAGCACAGAGUGACUGAGAGGCAAAUCCCAGCUACCUCUACUCCGACAAAGCCAACUUUUCCUAAUUCCCCUUGGGCCCCAGAAGGGAAUUCUUCACCCCAAUUCAGCUGAAAGAAGACGAGGAAGAUUAUCUUCCCAGUUCCUUAUGUUGGGGUGGAUGGUUCUGGUUAUUCUAAGAACAGUGGAUAUGUUUUCUUUUAAGGGAUACUGUACAAAUGUAGCUUUGGGCAGGGGGAACUAGAGAAUUUAAACUCAGG